UACGUAGGGUGCAAGCGUUGUCCGGAAUUAUUGGGCGUAAAGAGCUCGUAGGCGGUUUGUUGCGUCGGCUGUGAAAUCCCGAGGCUCAACCUCGGGUCUGCAGUCGAUACGAGCAAACUAGAGUGUUGCAGGGGAGACUGGAAUUCCUGGUGUAGCGGUGAAAUGCGCAGAUAUCAGGAGGAACACCGGUGGCGAAGGCGGGUCUCUGGGCCGAUACUGACACUGAGGAGCGAAAGCGUGGGGAGCGAACAGG
rnacentral:rRNA from 1 species